GGUCCAGCUCAGGGCAGCAGCUCCUAUUUGUGGAAGUGAUGCAAACGACAGGCCCUUCUCUGCGCCAUUUGCCCCCCUUGGCAUCCCUUACUGGAAGACAUGGCUGCCGCCUGCUGUGGCCCUCUGCCCGAGGUUUUUCCCUUGAAGAGGCUUCCUGUGCCUGAAGCUGCCCUGCGACAAGCAGUAGAGAGUUUAUAGCAGAUGCGGUCUGACUAUGUUGCCCAGGCUGGUCUCAAACUCCCAGGAUCAAGGAAUCCUCCUGCCCCAGCCUUCCCAGCACCUGGGACUACAGGCACAUCCACCAAGCCAGCCUCUGUGGGGAUAUCUUUCCUGAAGUCAUCUGUGCCCUGCAAUCCAGCUGAGUGCUUCUCUGGGACAGCUGUACAGCUCCCAUCCUGAGAGCUCCCUUUGCACUCAGGGACCAACAAGCGCCUUUAUGUUUCUCCUUUGUUGCAAUCCUUCUGUCCUGGACCAUGGUUUUUUUCUCCUUCUUAAUUGGCUUCCUCCUUGUAGUGAAGCAUAAUUUUCAAGAGAUACUUGAGGAAGGGCCUAUAGGAGAUACACAAACUGAAAACCUGCACUGGGGAAAAUGUCUGUAGUCCAACUGCCCUUUGGUGGAUAGUUUUGUGGUACACAAUCUUAGAAAACUAUGGGGGCGGGGAUUUAGCUCAUUGGUUUUGCCGCCUGCCACGCAAGCGCAAGGGCCAGAGUUCGAUCCCCACUACCAAAAAAACCCAAAAAACCAGAAAACUAUGUCCCUCAGGAUUUAGCAUAUAUUGAUCUAUUGUCUUCCAGCUUCCACUCUUAUGGAUAAAAAACUUAAGUCUGUUUUGAUUUCCUUUUCUUUGCAAAUGACCUGUUUUGUUCUCUCUAGAAGCUUGAAGUCCUUUUGCUCUUUUUUUUUUCUUUCUUUUCUUUUAAUCACUAGUGUUUUGAAAUUUCACAAAGAUGUGGCUUUGUAGGAUCCUUUCCUGUUCAUUGUUAUGGAUGAUCUCAAGGAUAUCUUUUCUCAUUAGGUUUUUUUUUUUGAAACACAAUCUCACAAUAUAGCUCAGGAUACCCUUCAACUCACUAUGUAGCCCAGACUCGCCUCAAAUUCAUAGUGAUCCUUCUGCCUCAGCCUCCCAGUUCUGGGAUCAUAGGCAUGUGCCACUAGGAAAUUUUCUAGUAUUCAUUCUUUGCUUAUUUUUCCCCCUCCAUAGUCUCCUGACUCCCCCUCCUUUUCAUUCUCCUCUUCCUUUUCUGCUUCCUCUUAUUCCUUCCCUUCUUCAUCUUCAUUUUUCUCUUCCUCUUCCUUCCCCUUCCUCUCUUUGGUCUCCUUCCUCUUUCUCUUCUGCUUCUUUUUUUGAGAUGGAAACCUCACUGUGCUGCCCAGGCUGGCCUAGAUUUGCAAUCCUCCUGCCUGAAUAUCCCAAGUAGCUGGGUCACAGACAUGUUCCACUUCAAUGGCUCUGCUCUUAUUUAUCUGAUAAUCCUAUUAGUUAUGUGUUGAAACUGUACAACUGGUCUCUGAAUUUUCUUUUUUUCUCUCCCUUUUCCCUACUCUUUGUCUUUUUGUUCUAUUUUAUGAGAGAUGGGCAUAACUUUAUCUUCAACCAUCAUAUUGAAUUUAAGCAAGCAUUC
ensembl:lncRNA